rnacentral:rRNA from 1 species
UACGGAGGGUGCAAGCGUUAUCCGGAUUCACUGGGCUUAAAGGGUGCGUAGGUGGGUCUGUAAGUCAGUGGUGAAAUCUCCGUGCUUAACAUGGAAACUGCCAUUGAUACUAUAGGUCUUGAAUUUUCUGGAGGUCAGCGGAAUAUGUCAUGUAGCGGUGAAAUGCUUAGAUAUGACAUAGAACACCAAUUGCGAAGGCAGCUGGCUACAGGGAUAUUGACACUGAGGCACGAAAGCGUGGGGAUCAAACAGG